rnacentral:rRNA from 3 species
UGGGGAAUUUUGGACAAUGGGCGCAAGCCUGAUCCAGCAAUGCCGCGUGAGUGAAGAAGGCCUUCGGGUUGUAAAGCUCUUUCAGUUGAGAAGAAAAGAUUGUGACUAAUAAUUGCAAUUCAUGACGGUAUCAACAGAAGAAGCACCGGCUAACUACGUG